CUUAAAUCUGAGGUCAUAGUGAGGCUGCCCUUAUUAUUAAUUCAAACCUAUAAUAUAUCUAGAUAUAUAUAUGCAUAGGAGACUGGUCCUCUCUUGCCAUCAUUCUCAAUCUUUAAACUAUAGUGUAACAUUAUUUUGUCUGUUUUUAGUAUGGAGCAGCAAAAUAUUUGCAUAUAUACAUGUCAAGUAUGCACUGCAUAUUAUGAAGGUUUCAUGCUGAGUAAUUAGUUCAUCACUCCCUCCCUCCUACGAAGUGCUCACUUCUCAGUAUCUGUCAUUACCAUGGCGCCUUCUCCUCCGCUGCUGCAACCACGUCCACGGCCGCACCGCCGCCUCCUUCACUUCACAACUUCCGCUUUUUGUAUUGCUGAAAAGGUGAUGACAAGUUUUUAACAUCUGAUGAUCAAGUUUGGGGAAAUUGCUGCUGGUUUUUUUUUUUUUUUUUUUCGUGUAGGCCGUACAAGUUUGUUUGUUCAUGAAUCAUGAUAUACGAUUUAACUCUUUGUAAUCAAGAAUCAAACAUUUGACUUUGUGUGACAAAUGGAAGGUUAGUUUUGUUUUUAA